CUCUUUCAGUGGAUGAGAGGAGAAUUGAAGUGAAGUCUGCAGUAACAGUUUGAAAUGGGACUGAUGUUAUGCUGCUUUCAGUGUUUCAACCCUGUAAUAAUUAUCGCCUAUGUUCUCACAGCACAGAAACAGGGUUCAAGACAGGUACAGUGAUAACCCAUUCCUCCAGUGGCAUGGAGGAAGUGACAUUUGGGAAAAUCCAGAGAUAUGUGG